rnacentral:rRNA from 1 species
UACGUAGGGCGCAAGCGUUGUCCGGAAUUAUUGGGCGUAAAGAGCUCGUAGGCGGACUGUCACGUCCGCUGUGAAAAGCUAGGGCUUAACCCUGGCCUUGCAGUGGAUACGGGCAGACUAGAGGUAGGUAGGGGAGAAUGGAAUUCCCGGUGUAGCGGUAAAAUGCGCAGAUAUCGGGAGGAACACCGGUGGCGAAGGCGGUUCUCUGGGCCUUACCUGACGCUGAGGAGCGAAAGCGUGGGGAGCGAACAGG